rnacentral:rRNA from 1 species
AUUGAACGCUGGCGGCAUGCUUUACACAUGCAAGUCGAACGGUAACAGGCCGCAAGGUGCUGACGAGUGGCGAACGGGUGAGUAAUGCAUCGGAACGUGCCCAGUCGUGGGGGAUAACUACUCGAAAGAGUAGCUAAUACCGCAUACGAUCUAUGGAUGAAAGCGGGGGACCGUAAGGCCUCGCGCGAUUGGUGCGGCCGAUGUCAGAUUAGGUAGUUGGUGGGGUAAAGGCUCACCAAGCCAACGAUCUGUAGCUGGUCUGAGAGGACGACCAGCCACACUGGGACUGAGACACGGCCCAGACUCCUACGGGAGGCAGCAGUGGGGAAUGUUGGACAAUGGGCGCAAGCCUGAUCCAGCAAUGCCGCGUGCAGGAAGAAGGCCUUCGGGUUGUAAACUGCUUUUGUACGGAACGAAACGGCUCUGGUUAAUACCCGGGGCUAAUGACGGUACCGGAAGAAUAAGCACCGGCUAACUACGUG